rnacentral:rRNA from 1 species
CUGAGACUAAGCCAUGCAUGUCUAAGUAUAAACAAAUUUGUACUGUAAAACUGCGGACGGCUCAUUUAAAUCAGUUACAAUCUACUUGAUCGUAUAUUCAAAGAAUUAAUCGGGUAACCCUAGUAAUUCUAGAGCUAAUACGUGCAAAAAGCUCCGACCUCUUCUUUUAGGGGAAAGAGUGUUAUUUUAUUAGGUAACUUAAAACCAAUCAGACCCAAAAGGCUGUUUUGUUGAUGAUUCAUAAUAACUUUGCAAAUUCGCGGGCCAAUGUCUGCGAUGAUACAAACGAGUUUUCUGUACCUUAUUCAACUUUAGAUGGCAGGAUUAGGGGCUUGCCAUGGUGACAACGGGUGACGGGGAAUUAGGGUUCGAUUCCGGAGAGGGAGCCUGAGAAACGGCUACCACUUCC